CGGCGCGGCGGCGUCAGUCGGCGGCAGGAGCUGGUCCCGGCGCCGCCUCGGGCUCCGCUGGGCUCGGGAGCCGCUCCCGGAGGCGGAGGAGGCGGAGGCGGCGGCGGCGGCGGCGGAGGAGGAGGAGAGCCAGGCCGGGGCGGCAGCCGCGGGCCCGCGGGCCGGGCGAUGGCUUAGGGCGCCCCGCCGCCGCGCCCCCAGCAUGGGGAAACUUCACUCCAAGCCGGCCGCCGUGUGCAAGCGCAGGGAGAGCCCGGAAGGUGACAGCUUCGCCGUGAGCGCCGCCUGGGCCCGGAAGGGCAUCGAGGAGUGGAUCGGGUGGCAGCGCUGCCCGGGCGGCGGCUCCGGACCCCGACAGCUGCGGGCGGCGGGCACGGCCGGCAGAGGAACCCGGGAGCUGGUGGGCGAGGUUUUCAGAGAGAUACUCAGCGAGGAGGAGGAGGAGGAGGAGGAGGAAGACUUCCGACUGGAAGUGGCCCUGCCCCCCGAGAAGACCAGCGGGCUGGCCAGUGGCGAUGAGAAGAGGAUGGAGAAGCCGAGCGAAUCCUGUCCGGGCUCCAAGAAGCAGCUGAAGCUGGAGGAGCUGCAGUGUGACGUGUCCGUGGAGGAGGACAGCCGGCAGGAGUGGACCUUCACCCUGUACGACUUCGACAACAAUGGCAAGGUCACCCGGGAGGACAUCACCAGCCUGCUGCACACCAUCUACGAGGUGGUCGACUCCUCCGUCAACCACUCCCCGGCGUCCAGCAAGACGCUGCGGGUGAAGCUCUCGGUGGCCCCCGACGGGAGCCUGGGCCGGAGGAGCCUCCUGCUCCAGCACCCCGACCUGCAGAGCGCCAGGCCCCGAGCGGAGACCAAGCCGGCGGAGGAGCUGCGCAGCUGGGACAAGAGGCAGCGGGCCCCGCUCAGGUUCCAGGGGGACAGCCGCCUGGAGCAGCCCGGCUGCUACCACCCGUGCGUGGAUGAGAACAUUGAGAGGAGAAACCACUACUUAGACCUCGCUGGGAUAGAGAACUACACGUCCCAGUUCGGGCCUGGCUCCCCGUCCGUGGCCCAGAAGUCAGAACUGCCCCCCCGCGCCUCCAACCCGACGCGGUCCCGCUCCCAUGAGCCAGAAGCCGUCCACGCCCCCCACCGGAAGCCCCCGGGCGCGGACCCCGGCCCGGCCCACGGCCCGGACGCCCCGCCCGCCAAGGCCCUGGAGGCCCAGCAGCGGCUCCGCGGCGCCCAGGAUGGGAGCAGGCACUUUGUGAGGUCCCCCAAGGCCCAGGGCAGGAACGCGGGCGUGGGCCACGCGGCCAGGGGGCCCAGGGGCAAGCCGCCUCCGGGACCCGCCGUGCCCGCGGCGUCCCCGGCCGCCCACCCGGCCGCCGGCCCGGGCCUCCUCCCCGCCCCGGCGCCCCUCGGGCACCGGAAGCACCGGCACCGGGCCAGGGAGGGCCCCCCGGGGGGCCGGGCCCCGCAGGCCCCCGUCCGGGACCACGUGCGGGAGCCGCCCGCGCCGGCCGCGGUGGGCCAUGACGGCCAGGCCGGCCAGGCGGUGCAGAGACACGAGCACCACCACCACCAUGAGCACCACCACCACUACCACCACUUCUACCAGACCUAGGCCCGGCCCUGCCUCACCAGGGCCCUCCCCCCAGGCAGCCUUAUCCUAUUAAUUAUUGUUAUCCCGACGGCUGUUGUUAUUAAUAAUUAUUGUUACUCCACUAAUACCCGGCUCGCCUCCGUGCAGACGGCCCAUGGACACACAGAACUAACCCUUAUUUAUACGCCGUGCGGACUGUGGGCCGGGGCGCCGCCCGGAGACGCCGGAGGCUCCCUCAGGCCCGCGGCUCAGUCCAGGUACUCGCGCACGGCCAGCUCCUUGAGCGUGAGGCCCCGCGGGCCGGGCCUGCGCAGCUGGCAGUCCUCCAGGCGCCGCUGCAGGGGCGCGCA